AGCCGCCGCGGUAAUACCAGCACCCCGAGUGGUCGGGACGAUUAUUGGGCCUAAAGCAUCCGUAGCCGGUUCUACAAGUCUUCCGUUAAAUCCACCUGCUCAACAGAUGGGCUGCGGAGGAUACUAUGGAGCUAGGAGGCGGGAGAGGCAAGCGGUACUUAGUGGGUAGGGGUAAAAUCCGUUGAUCCAUUGAAGACCACCAGUGGCGAAGGCGGCUUGCCAGAACGCACUCGACGGUGAGGGAUGAAAGCUGGGGGAGCAAACCGGAUUAGAUACCCGGGUAGUCCCAGCUGUAAACGAUGCAGACUCGGUGAUGAAUAGGCUUCGUGCCUAUUCAGUGCCGCAGGGAAGCCGUUAAGUCUGCCGCCUGGGGAGUACGGUCGCAAGACUGAAACUUAA
rnacentral:rRNA from 1 species